rnacentral:lncRNA from 11 species
UAUGCGUUAGAGAAUCAGAAUCCUCUGCUGCUAACCCAGUGCGCGUUCUCCCUCUAUUUUGGUCGCGCGGCGGAACUCUUCCUCUGAGGCGCAACGUUCCAGGCCGGCCUCCUUUCCGCGGGAGGCCUCGAGCGUGCUGUUGCCAUAGCGACAAUGUAGCUGCUACCUAGCCGCGUGAGCGCGCGAAGAAGCUUUUGUGAGGAAACCCGGGCCGGAUCCAGUCCUGGGAGUCGGAAGGCAGUCUCGCCUCGCCAUGAACAGGUUUAACAUUGUCGUGGGUCGAGGGAUUGCCAGGCCAGGAGCACCCAAGGUUUCAGGAAUGAUGAAAGUGAUUCAUCCUGAAGUCUGUGCCCCCAACAGUCUGGGGGACCAUGAACCGACCCUCUGCAUAAAACGUUUGAGGAACCCUGCUCUAAAGCAACAGAAGGAACAAAGGAUUAGAAGAUUGCGUGUAUUUGGUCCAAAAGAAGAAGUAAUUAUUGAGCCAGUUCAAACAAAGCAAUGCAUGGGAUGUGGAAAUGAAUCUUCAAGCAGAUCUUACACUCCAUCAAAGCAAAUCUUGUUAUGUGCAGCCAAAUCAUUAGACAAAGAAAAUGCUUUAACAAGAAUUUCAAAAAAUAUGAAUAUGAAUGUGGGACUACAAGAAUGCAUAGAAGAAGAAACAGAAAUUCAUAAUGAUCAACAUUUGAAGCCUGAUUUGGAGGGAUUGAAUCAUGAAACUAAAAUAAUUGAGGCUAAGACAGAAUCAGAAGGAAAUGAUGAAGAAAUGAAAAAUUCUAAUAAUGUGGAAACGAUUAGUAACAAUGAGGUCACAGCAGAAAUUCAAAAGGACAACGUGGAUAAACAAACUGCUGAUGAGAAGCCGCCAGAUAGUUCAGAUGAUGAUGACAGCAAUGGACAAAGUGACAAUAAAGUGAAAAAGAGAGUUGCACCACUGCAAUUAAUGGCAGAGGUACAAGUUCCAUUCAAAAUCAUUCGUAUACAAUAGAGUCUCGCUUAUCCAACCUCCACUUAUCCAAUGUUCUGAAUUAUCCAACACAGUCUGCCUCCUGCCCGGAUCCACAGCUAUUUCUUUAGGCAGCAAGGACUGAACUUUUAAUAGAUUUAAUUUCCGACAGUGUUAUUACUGCAAAUUUAUUUUAUGCAAUUCUAUCUUUAUCUGUAGUCAAUUUGUUAGUAGCCAAUGUUUUUAUAGUCAAUGUUUUCAAUACAUUGUGAUGUUUUGGUGCUAAAUCCGUAAAUACAGUAAUUACUACAUAACGUUACGAUGUAUUGAACUGCUUUUUUUGACGAUUUGAUGUAAAACAUGAUGUUUUGGUGCUUAAUUUGUAAAAUCAUAAUGUAAUAUGAUUCUAAUAUUUAUCCUCUAGACUGCACCACUUUCUUAUGACCCGGUUUUUUGUGGUUUUAUUCUUAUGUCUUUCUCACCCCGAGUUUUAACUUAAUGUUCAUGUGGCCCGCCCUUGUUUUUAUUGUUUCCUUGAUUUUGCAUUGUAAUGGAUAUUAUUAUUUAUUGUAUUGUUCACUGUGUUGUGAUGUGUUGUUCUUU